rnacentral:tRNA from 6 species
GGGCCGGUAGCUCAACUGGUAGCAGCGCUUCCAUGGCAUGGAAGAGGUUGUGGGUUCAAGUCCCAUCCGGUCCACAA